CUCUGCCCGGCAGCAGGUGAGGGCGGGACCGGCGCCCGCGGCCCGGGAGCAGCCGCCUCUCACGGGCUGGAGGCGCUUAUGCGGCGGCGCUGCUGCGGAGGCGGCUGCCCGCGCUCCCGGCCCCCGCGGCGGCCGGGCGGCCGAGGGGCCGCUGCUCACACAGCUUGAUGCAAGAGGACUUGAAAUUCUCUCUCCUUUUGAACUAACUCCUCCAAUAACCUGUGAAUCAAUGGGAACAAAGCACUUAUUUCCUUCAGUCUCCUCAAAUUUUUAGGAAGGGAAAGAUCUUACUAUACCUAAACUGGAAACCUUUCUGACAAAGACAAGGACAGACUUCUUCAGCUUUCACAGCCUGCCCAGCUGGACACUCAGUGAUCUGUGAGCAGCCUGGGAGUCGUGGGACACUGUAGAGCUGAGUGUGCUCACACCUGAGGUAUUCCUGCUGUUGCUGUUCUGGCAUAUUUAGCAUUCCAUCGUUAUAAGAAUACCAAAUUCAUCAAAAAAAUGCAUUGCAAAAACGGAGAGGAAAUUAUGAAAAGGCCCCUCUCCUGACAACUUAAAGCACACUUCCCUUCUACCUAUCAGAGGGAACACUGCCUCUUUCAUAAUGAUGCACAUCCACAAAACUAAGAACACAAAGCUGUACCCUGGUUUCUGUUGUUCCCUGUCUAAACUACCUACCAGAGCCUACCAGUGUGAAAAGAAUAUUAAUAUGAGGUUAAUAGAGAAAGCUGAAAGCAUACUCAGAAGAACCAAACAGAAAACUUUUGAUUUGUAGAAUGAUCUCUUUCUCAAAUUCACUUUUUUUUUUUUUUAAUAAAAGCAUCUAAUUCUCGUUAGUGUAGUCUAUGCAUUAGUUUACAUGCUACGCCAUCCUUCCUUGUGUAAGUGCCCCAGGUUUAAAUUCUAAAGGAAUCAUCCACCUCAAAUACUUACCUGAAUUGUAAUUUCAUUUUUACUGCAUGAUUUCAGUCUGGACAAGUGAUACUCAGCACAGCUGCUACCUCCCAUGUUCAUUAUUCAUCUUAAUCAUUAAACCUAACUGCUUGUGAACUAACACUUAAAUACAUACCUUAAGAAAAUAUUUGCUUUUCAUAAACUAGCUAUUUAAAGGCU